GGGCUUGUGGUUUAGUGGUAUAAUACUCCCUUAGCAUCGGAUACGAUCCUCCUUUCCUUCGGAGGAAUCUUCCAAAAGAUCUGGGAGUGGUCCGGGGUUCGAUUCCCCGCGAGUCCA
rnacentral:tRNA from 1 species